rnacentral:rRNA from 1 species
UACGGGGGGGGGCGAAGCGUUGUUCGGAAUUACUGGGCGUAAAGAGCUCGUAGGCGGUUUUGUUGCGUCUAUCGUGAAAAACCUGCAGCUUAACUGUGGGCUUGCGGUGGAUACGGGCAGACUUGAGUUCGGUAGGGGGAGACUGGAAUUCCUGGUGUAGCGGUGAAAAUGCGCAGAUAUCAGGAGGAACACCGGUGGCGAAGGCGGGUCUCUGGGCCGAUACUGACGCUGAGGAGCGAAAGCGUGGGGAGCGAACAGG